CCAACUCACUUCUCUUUUUCCUCUCGCAUUUAGGUAUUGACUCCUGCCUCAUGAAGGCUGGUCCUGUCUCUAUAGUGAAUAUUGUGCAUCUCAGGGUAGAAUGGAGAGCACAAGACUUCAAAUCAGGCAGUCCGGGUUCAGACCCCAAUUCUAGUGCUAAAUAGCUACGUGACUUUAGGCUGAUUGUGUGUGACUUCCCUGAGCCCCAGUCUCUUUGCCUGCAAAAUGAGAAAAAUGAUAACAAUGUCAUCGGUUGUUCUAAGGAUUCUGAGAGGAAUUAGUAGGAGAGAGAACUAAGAAGCUGCAGGCCUCUACAGAGCCAUUCAACUGGCAUUUCGGAAGAUGUUGCCCAUCAGAGUCAGACCUUCUUAGCAUCUUCCAGCUGGGCCCAAACUUCCCAAGACCAUUUGGACAAGGUCAUCUCUAUCCCACCAUGGCCUCCUCCCAGAGGAGGAGAAGAAUCAUGCUGUUACAGCAGAACCGAAGAUUUGGGCAAGGGAGCUAAUGAUUAUGUUCUGCGUCAGGUCAGAGAUGGGCUGGGAAAGCCACUCCAAAGCCAAGACAAGCAGUUUCCUGGAAAAAGAAGGCUGCGCGGAGCCCAGAGUGGCCUGGAUCCUGCCUCAUUUCCUGGACCAGCUCCUUAGGUGGUUACUGGAUUGCCAAUAAAGCAGAGCUUAUUAAAGUCAACGAGCUCAGGCUUCAUCGCCGCCGUGGUAUCCAAGCACCAGUCUGUCUGGGAUUUCAUUUGCCUGAUGGACAAAGGAGAGGUUGUUCCAAUACAUAUCCUGAGUGGUGGGGGUGGGGAGAGAAGGGGAAGAAUGCUCUCUAGAGAAUUCUCUUUGUCCUCUGAAGUAAAUAGAGAUCAUGUCUUCCCCAGCCACACUCAGUGAUCUGAAUCUCUUGGACUGUGGAUUUUUCCUUUACCUGCUGUGAAGCCUUGAAAAGUAUGAAUUAGCUAGAUAAUGAUCCUCUAAAGAUGUUCAAGAGUUAAAGAUGUGUUUAAGUUCUUCAGGCAAUCCAAUAUGACUACGGGUUUCCAAAAAUUUGAAGGAAACUGAAAAUCAUAGUUCCCAAACCAGAUAUUUUCCGGUGUCCAGAUGUUCACUGGCAUGCAAACCAAAUGUCUGGAUUAUGAGCUCCUUUUUUCAUUUCUUUUUAUCAGCUUACAUCCAGAUGUUGGAUCCAACUGGUCAGAGGCCUGGGGCAGAGACAGAAAUCAAAUCUAGGGUGUUCAUCUAGAGUCUCCUGCUCCUCCAUUCCUGCUUCCUCCUCACGCUGCCCCCACAUCCUCCCCAACUCACCUUCAUGCUACAUCUCGGCAAAUACAGCUCAUAUCCAGGCACGGUGCAGCCCUUGACAGCUGGGUCCGCAAAGGCAGAUCAGAUGUUCUGCCAAUUGAAUGGAAACUGUCCAUAGUGGGGAGCAGAGAGCCUCAUCUUUUCUGGAACUGAACAUCCAUCCUUAAGGCCAGAUUUCUCCCACCACCAACUUUAACUCCUGCCCUAGCCCUCUCUCUUCCUUUUCAAAACCCUCUCCACCCAGGAAGGGAGAUUCUGGAGCCAAGACUGUACCAGCCACACCUCCCCAGAGUUGUUAAGGAAGGAACUUGAAGCCAGGGGUGGUCCUCUGGCAAGCACCCCCACUACCAGUAGCAGGACAGAUGUGUUUCUAAUGGACUACACUAUCCCCGGAGGUCACAUGAUUCAGGCUGCCAAGGGUACCUGCCCUUGGGAAAUCAACUCUUGAAGAUAAAUUGGGAUUGGGCCCUGAGAAGAUCCAUGGAAGCCCAGAGGACCCUGCCUCUCUCUGUUGCUUCAUGCUGUAGAGGCAGUACUGGGGAGGGCCUGCCCCACAUCCGGCGGGGCAGCUGGAACCAUGUGUUUGAUGACACUCUGCUCCCUCAAUGUGGAGCCUCAUCCUCAUCUCACAGUCCAGCAGGCCUCUGGUGGGUUAGGCUUGUCUCACCCAGUGUGUGAGUUUUUUUGGAAGUGACCUGAUUUUGGAGUUUCCCUCCAAGCCUUUCUCAGGCACAUGCUUUCUCUUUUAUUCUGUCUUCUUUUUCUGAUCUUCUUAAAUCUGAUUUUCUCCUUUUUCACUCUCUUGUCUCCAUCUUUUUUCCAGUCUCUCACUUCCCUUUAUUUCUCCCCAUAUUUCACUCUGUUCUCUCACCCCACCCUUUCCCUUCUGUUUCUCUCCCUCCCUCUCUUCCCACCCCCUGCCUGGCCUUCCAUAUAUCAAGCAGAGUUUUAUCACCUUAUGCAGGGGCAGCCCUGCCACCUGCCAUAAAGUUGAUAGGCUAAUGACAUUUUGUGGAUAUUGCCAUGUCACAAGUCCAGGGACAGCAUCAAAAAUAGCCCUGAUGUCUAAACCACUUCAGCUAUCUUUUUUAUUUUUAAAAUAAAUACAUUCACAUGCUUUUAAGAAACUAUAAAAAUAUAUAAAGUAAAAAGAUCUUUCUCUCACACUGUCUCCACCUCUCCUGGUCUCACCGUUGUGCUUAGGGUAAACCAUUGUGAUUAGUUUCUUCUAUGUCCUUCCAGAGUGUCUUUAUGCAAAUGAAAAUUAUUGUGAUAAUAUAUUCCUAUUUUCCCCCUUACUACACAAAAGAUAGACUACCAUAAUCCCAUUCUGCACUUUUUUUUCACUUGAUAAUAAAAACAUGAUUU